rnacentral:piRNA from 1 species
UGUGUAGCAUGCUUGACCAGGACU